rnacentral:rRNA from 1 species
UACGUAGGGUGCAAGCGUUAAUCGGAAUUACUGGGCGUAAAGCGUGCGCAGGCGGUUUGUUAAGACAGAUGUGAAAUCCCCGGGCUCAACCUGGGAACUGCAUUUGUGACUGCAUCGCUGGAGUGCGGCAGAGGGGGAUGGAAUUCCGCGUGUAGCAGUGAAAUGCGUAGAUAUGCGGAGGAACACCGAUGGCGAAGGCAAUCCCCUGGGCCUGCACUGACGCUCAUGCACGAAAGCGUGGGGAGCAAACAGG